CAGAUGGAUUUUCGCUCUUAUUGCCCAGGCUGGAGUGCAAUGACAUGAUUUUGGCUUACUGCAACCUCUGCCUCCCGGGUUCAAGCGAUUCUCCUGCCUCGGCCUCCUGAGUAGCUGGCAUUACAGCUAGAUAUAGAGAAUUCCUAACAGAGGACUUCCAGGUUAUCCUAGGGACAGCAGAGCCUCAAGAGCCAGGAUCCCCGAGUCACCACUUGGAGGAGAGUCUGCUAGAAGAACUGAUUGAUUAGCGACAUCUACAUUCAACUUGAUGUCCUAGCGAGACUCAUGGAGACAGACACCAGACUUCCCAUGUGUGGUCUGUACUAUAGACUCGGCAGGAGGAAUUGUGCAUCAUCAGCUAUUCAAGGUCAGCUGCGGAUUGAUGCUGAGGAUCAGCCCUGUGGGUCCUCCCCCUAAGAGGAGCAGCUGGACUGCAGCUCCUCCCGGGUCUUGUUAGGGAGGCAGCCACUGCCUCUCAGUGUUCUGGCAAAGAGGACUGCAAUCCUUUCAUUUAUUGCCAUGUGACCUUGAGCGGGUGAAUUGCCCUCUCCAAGUCUUGAUUUCUUCCUCUGAAAAAUUCCCUCGGAGGGCUGUCAUGCAGAUUAGGGCUAAUGUAUAUAAAAUGCAGUGCCUGGAACAUGGUGGAUACUCCAUAAGUGGCAGGAAUUGUUCUUAUUUAUAAGAGUGGGGAUGACAGAAGCCAGCCUUUGCCCUCGAGGCCUGUGGGAUGGCAUCAAUUCUCCAUGGUUGGUGGAGGGGGGUCCCAGGGAGCAGAAGCAUGGGCAGAGAGAGGGCCCCUCAGUGCGGGACAGUCCUGAGCCCUCUCCCAGGAAUAAGCCUUGCUCCAAAAGCCCUGGAGGGGCCAGACCCACAGGGAGAAGGCUGCCCCACCCUGACAGGGCACUUGGAGGCCCAGGGCAACCCUGCCCAGUGGGCGCCUGCCUUCCAGCCCUGCCCACAGGACAGCCCCUGCAGUGGUCCAGGGGAGGCAUGUAAAGAUGCCCAGGCUGCAUGCACAAUUUCCAGAGCCUGCUGCUGUGGAAGUUUGGAUCCAAGCGAGUGGGUGUAAAGAAUGUCAAGCAAGAUUCGAUUACAAUUUUUAUUUUGGAAAAACCUUCAUCAAAAUAUGUAUAUCUAAUUAGGACAAUUACAGCACAGGAACAGAAAACUGAUUAAAAAUCAGACACUCCAUAAAUUAUGAGUGUUUCCCUCCAGCUGGGGCACAUCUCCGGCUGCUGAGCUGCAAGGCCAA